UGAGGAAUAUUGCACAAUGGGGGAAACCCUGAUGCAGCGACGCCGCGUGAGCGAUGAAGGCUUUCGAGUCGUAAAACUCCGUCCUAUGGGAAGAUAAUGACGGUACCAUAGAAGAAAGCCCCGGCUAAUUACCUGCCAGCAGCCGCGGUAAUACGUACGGGGCGAGCGUUGCCCGGAAUCAUGGGGCGUAAAGAGUGCGUAGGCGGCAAAUUAAUUCAGAUGUGAAAACCAAGGGCUCAACCCAUAGAUUGCAUCUGAAACUGAUGUGCUUGAGUCAAGGAGAGGAAAGUGGAAUUCCUAGUGUAGCGGUGGAAUGCGUAGAUAUUAGGAGAAAUACCGGUGGCGAAGGCGACUUUCUGGACUAGAACUGACGCUAAGGCACGAAAGAGUGGGGAGCAAACGGG
rnacentral:rRNA from 1 species